AAUAUGGAUAUAUCUAUAAUACAUUAAAAGUCAGUUUGAAGCUUGCUUGCUUGCAAUGUUGCCCAGCCAAACUGGUGCAAAUGGGAAAAUACUAUGAAUUAAGUUUACCCUGAAAUGUUAAUAUGAACAGAAUAAAACAAGUUUCAUGUAAAUCAGACAAGUGG